AAUAUAUGCUUGCAUCAAAGAUUAAGCCAUGCAUGUCUAAGUAUAAGCAAUCUAUACAGUGAAACUGCGAAUGGCUCAUUAAAUCAGUUAUCGUUUAUUNGAUAGUACCUUUACUACAUGGAUAACCGUGGUAAUUCUAGAGCUAAUACAUGCGUAAAAUCCCGUUUGGGAUGUAUUUAUUAGAUAAAAAACCAAUGCCUUCGGGCCUUUUGGUGAUUCAUGAUAACUUGUCGAAGCGCAUGGCCUCGUGUGGCGCUGGUUCAUUCAAAUUUCUGCCCUAUCAACUUUCGAUGGUAGGAUAGUGGCCUACCAUGGUAGCAACGGGUAACGGGGAAUUAGGGUUCGAUUCCGGAGAGGGAGCCUGAGAAACGGCUACCACAUCCAAGGAAGGCAGCAGGCGCGCAAAUUACCCAAUCCUGACACAGGGAGGUAGUGACAAUAAAUAACGAUACAGGGCCUAUGGUCUUGUAAUUGGAAUGAGAACAAUUUAAACCACUUAUCGAGGAACAAUUGGAGGGCAAGUUGGUGCCAGCAGCCGCGGUAAUUCCAGCUCCAAUAGCGUAUGUUAAAGUUGUUGCAGUUAAAAAGCUCGUAGUUGAACCUUGGGAUUGUAGAAUUGGUCCUCCUCACGGAGCGUACUGAUUUCUACGAUUCUUUUGCCUGGACGCCUUGCUGCUUUUAACCGAGUGGUAAGGAGAGUCGGGCCAUUUACUGUGAGAAAAUUAGAGUGUUCAAAGCAGGCGUUUCGCUCGAAUAUGUUAGCAUGGAAUAAUAGAAUAGGACGUAUGGUUCUAUUUUGUUGGUUUCUAGGACCGUCGUAAUGAUUAAUAGGAACGGUCGGGGGCAUCAGUAUUGAGUAGCUAGAGGUGAAAUUCUUGGAUUUACUCAAGACUAACUAGUGCGAAAGCAUUUGCCAAGGACGUUUUCAUUAAUCAAGAACGAAAGUUAGGGGAUCGAAGACGCUUAGAUACCGUCGUAGUCUUAACCGUAAACUAUGCCGACUUGGGAUCGGACAGGUCAUUAUUUUUUGCUUGUUCGGCACCACGUGAGAAAUCAAAGUUUUUAGGUUCUGGGGGGAGUAUGGUCGCAAGGCUGAAACUUAAAGGAAUUGACGGAAGGGCACCACCAGGAGUUGGACUGCGGCUCAAUUUGACUCAACACGGGGAAACUCACCAGGUCCAGACACAAUAAGGAUUGACAGAUUGAGAGCUCUUUCUUGAUUUUGUGGGUGGUGGUGCAUGGCCGUUCUUAGUUGGUGAAGUGAUUUGUCUGCUUAAUUGCGAUAACGAACGAGACCUUGACCUACUAAAUAGCUAGGCUAACAUUUUGUUGGUUCUUUCUAGCUUCUUAGAGGGACUACUACAGAAAAUGUAGUGGAAGUUCGAGGCAAUAACAGGUCUGUGAUGCCCUUAGACGUUCUGGGCCGCACGCGCGCUACACUGACACAGCCAACGAGUAAAUAACCUUUGCCGAAAGGUAUGGGUAAUCGUGUUAAACUGUGUCGUGCUGGGGAUAGAGCUUUGCAAGUUUUGCUCUUGAACGAGGAAUUCCUAGUAAGCGCAAGUCAUCAACUUGCGUUGAUUACGUCCCUGCCCUUUGUACACACCGCCCGUCGUUACUACCGAUUGAAUGGCUUAGUGAGGCCUUCGUAUGCGAGCUCAAAAGUGGGCAACCGCUUUAGGCUUACAGAAGUUGGUCAAACUUGGUCAUUUAGAGGAAGUACAAGUCGUAACAAGGUUUCCGUAGGUGAACUGCGGA
rnacentral:rRNA from 1 species